UCGUAACAAGGUUUCCGUAGGUGAACCUGCGGAAGGAUCAUUACCGAGUGCGGGCCCUCUGGGUCCAACCUCCCAUCCGUGUCUAUCUGUACCCUGUUGCUUCGGCGUGGCCACGGCCCGCCGAAGACUAACAUUUGAACACUGUCUGAAGUUUGCAGUCUGAGUUUUUAGUUAAACAAUAAUUAAAACUUUCAACAACGGAUCUCUUGGUUCCGGCAUCGAUGAAGAACGCAGCGAAAUGCGAUAAUUAAUGUGAAUUGCAGAAUUCAGUGAAUCAUCGAGUCUUUGAACGCACAUUGCGCCCCCUGGUAUUCCGGGGGGCAUGCCUGUCCGAGCGUCAUUGCUGCCCUCAAGCACGGCUUGUGUGUUGGGCUUCCGUCCCUGGUAACGGGGACGGGCCCAAAAGGCAGUGGCGGCACCAUGUCUGGUCCUCGAGCGUAUGGGGCUUUGUCACCCGCUCCCGUAGGUCCAGCUGGCAGCUAGCCUCGCAACCAAUCUUUUUAACCAGGUUGACCUCGGAUCAGGUAGGGAUACCCGCUGAACUUAAGCAUAUC
rnacentral:rRNA from 1 species